rnacentral:tRNA from 1 species
GCCGAAUUAGCUUAGUUGGGAGAGCGUUAGACUGAAGACCAAAAGGUCCCUGGUUCGAUCCCGGGUUUCGGCA